UUUGGAAUAUCUAAUAGUCUAACUCCAGAAUAUCUAACAAGAAAGAAAACAAAUACAGAAGGGCAAUGUUUAACAGCUAGAAUAGAAAGGGACUUAUCGUUCUGGGAACGCGGCAGAUGUACCUCGAAGUCUCUAGCAAUAGCUUCCCUCAAGGAUAGUAGGCCUGAGUAUGGUACCUGGAUCUGCACAUGAAAAAUAUGCCCAUAAAGGGGCAUGAGUACACCACAGCGAUACUUAGUAAAUGCCAAGCAUAACCUUAGUCAGGUAGUGAUGAGGAAGGUCAGGGCCCUACUGAGAUUAAACAAAAAUAUAAAGUUCGACUGUAUAGAAUAUAACAGUAUAAUGAAAUACGGCAGUGACAGUAAUAUAUGAUAUAAAAGACAAUAAUAACUAUACAGAAGCGAGGUAAACAUGGAAAGAAAGUAUACCUCAGCACCAAUAAUACCGAUCGGGAUCUCAGGAUACCGUCCUGUAGUCCCAAAUACACAUAUCCGAUAAGUCUCCCGGGAUACCGUCCUGUAGCCCAACUCAUAUUGCGCAGGGAUCUACCGGAAUCUCAUUCCUUAGUUCCAAAUGUAAAUACCCAGUAAUGGGGAAAUCUACCAGGUAUUCCCAUAUUUUUAUAUAACUAUGCAGGGGGAUCUACCAAAAUCCGACAUCCGUAGUCCCAAAAUAAACAGAUAAGGGGGAUCUAUCGGAAUCCCACAUCCAUAGUCACAAUAUAAAUACACAUCAGCAGCAAGAAAAUACCCCCCUUAACUUUACUAAAAGGGCCAAAUAUAACCCUCAUUAAAAGUUUGGUCCAUCCACAAAUCGAACGUUACAUUAAUUGCCCAUAUACCCCCGCAUUUUAAUCGACAGUAAAUACCCCCUGAAACCCUCAUUUUUUUAACAAAAUAUUUUUUUGUUUGUAAAAAAAUGAAAAUAUUUUGUUGAAAAUGAUUUCUUUAGUUCUUAAAAAAACGAAAAUAUCUUGCAAAAAAUGAUUUUUUCCCUGUUUUUACAACAACAAAAAAAGUUUUUACAUAAUUUAUUUUUCCAGUUUCUUAAAAAACAUCUUUAAAAUAAACUGAAAAAUGAAGGAAAAAAAAUAUUUUUCAAAAGAGGAAAUAAUUUGUUGAAAAUAUUUUAUUCAGAUGACUAACUCACAAAAAGAAUUCCAGACACAAAGUUGCAAUCGCC
rnacentral:lncRNA from 1 species